CCCCCCCCCACCACCACCAGCGGGUCCAGAACCAAAGAGGAACGAGCAGAAUCCGGACCGGCUCUCAAGGUCGCCUGCUCCCAGGUGAUAUAAGUAGCCCAGUGGGAUCUAUUUCCAGAUCUGCUGGAAAUGUCGGCAGCACGACAACAAUAGCUGCAUGGAGGUGUUACGGACAGAGCUGCGGCCAAUCAGAGCGCAGAUCGACAGGUGGGAGGCUUCAGAGUCACGAUGGGCACCGCGGGGGGUCGGGUCCGCUUAUAGAAGCUUUCAGGUUGACUUGGUGUUAUUUCUGAGGCCGGCAGAAUGCCUUCCGGAUGAAUCCUGAUGAAUCACGUCGACGCGCCCAGAGAUCUCCAACGUCUUCAUCGGCCUGACGUUAACGCACCCUGAGCUCCACACGGGAGCCAUCCGUCUGUGUCGGGAGGCGGCGUGGAGUGAUUUCUAAUCGCAGGAAGAGGAGUGUGAGUCAGAGCGAGGUUAACAUGGAGGAAGGAUCCAGAACAGAAACACACAACGGUGCUGGUUCUGGAGACGUUUAAACCAACCACACAUCCAGUUCUGUUCUGCAUGAAACUGGAUCUGGGAAUGCCGACCCAACCGUGUUCUGGUUUGGCUUUCUUACCGGACCUCUGACUGUGUGAUAUGAGCUGAAAACUUUAGGUUUAUAUGUGUUUUAAACAUUCAAGCACUAAAGAAACCUGUUGACUGCGUGUGGGAACAAGAAACAGAAAGAAAUAGGGCUGGAUGAUAAUUCAAUAACAAUAUAU